rnacentral:rRNA from 1 species
UACGUAGGUGGCAAGCGUUGUCCGGAAUUAUUGGGCGUAAAGCGCGCGCAGGCGGUCCUUUAAGUCUGAUGUGAAAGCCCACGGCUCAACCGUGGAGCGUCAUUGGAAACUGGGGGACUUGAGUGCAGGAGAGAAGAGUGGAAUUCCACGUGUAGCGGUGAAAUGCGUAGAGAUGUGGAGGAACACCAGUGGCGAAGGCGGCUCUCUGGGACGGUACUGACGCUGAGACGCGAAAGCGUGGGGAGCGAACAGG